rnacentral:lncRNA from 1 species
AUAGAAGUGACAUUCUCCCUGGAGGUAAAUGUUAGCAGGGAGUGUGACUAUUCCCCACCUCUGAGGAAAGGAAAUAGCAGGUUUAGAUGUGCGUCCCAGCCCUCCCCACCUCCUCACCUCUUCAUCUCCUCCUUGUUUCAGCCUGCAAGAAAGGAGAAGAUUGCUUUCCUCUUUAGAAGUAGCCAUUGGAAACUAGGGCAAUAGCAAAUUGGGCACUAUGCCCAUCAUUUCCAAGAAAGUCAGCAGGCGCUGGAAAACCCAGUCUUUCCUCCCAGGUCUACUUUUCUGGAAGAAUGGGGAAAGAAGGGAAGCCAAUGAGACCAGGUUGACAUUUCCAAACAGAAAGGGCAUGUCCUUGGCCCUCAGGGAGUGAAAACUGGGACACCAAGGGGCCACGUUGGGAGCCAGGCUGCACAGUGACAUGGCAUUGCAUGUGAGCACUCAGAAAGAUGACACACUCACCACACUGUAAUGACUAAUAAAAAAACCCGUCAGAAAUAUGUCUCCGCUUUCCUUUGUGCCAGGUAAUGAAUUAAAGAUGACAAGGGAAAAACAGACUUCAGUGGCGUGCCUUCUUCCAGAGCUUCAGAAAAGCUUCAAAUUGUGCUGCACUGGAAAUUCCUCUUCCCUAUCACGCCUGCCCUAGGACAACUCUAAAGUGGAUCAGAACCUUCUCAGACCCAACUCAUGAAUAUGUGCCCACCUGGGCCUGGGGUCUGGCCACCCUCAUCACUGUGCCCCAGAUGGGAUGCCAGGUUGGACCCCUUGUGAGCAGUCUGACAGCUCAUGAAUGGAAAAGGAACAGCCUGAAUAUUGGGUGUAGUGCCGAGCUCUCUUUGAAGGCGCCUGUGUCAAUCAGAUCAGGAUCCAAGGUCUGCAACUGCAGAAUGGGGGUAAGGAUAAGCACUCUCAACCAACCCCUAGAUUUGCUGCGUCACCGAG